AGCCUUGGGCAGCGCCAUCAGCUUCUUCGCCUUGGGGACGUAGGCCCUCUUGGUGAAGUUGUCGUAGUCGUUCGCCUCGAUCUCGUCCAGGAUCUGCCGGUACAGAAGCAGAGAAGCCCACACCUGAAACAGCAGUUGCAGGCUUGCAGAUGGCCAGGGCCAGGAGAGAGUAAGAUGCUGAUGUCUCACCGGCCAUCGGCUCUCCUGAUUGAGCUCGGUGGCGCCUUCCUCUGCUCUCCUGAAGAACGACCUCGCCCUCGUGAUCUGGCCCCCCAUGAAGCUCCUCCACUCGUCGGUGACGCGGCCGUUGAAGAUGUCGGCUUCGGAGAGCCCCGCCAUCUCCAGCUCGUCCUGCGGGAGAUAGAUCCUUCCUCUCCUCGCACUGUCGAAAUUAAACACAAACAUGUAAAGAUGGGAGAGCGAGCUGACAUCGGAGAUGACGGCAAGAUUGCCUGGCAGGCAUGAUCUGAUCCA